rnacentral:rRNA from 1 species
GACGAACGCUGGCGGCGUGCUUAACACAUUCAAGUCGAACGGUGAAGCGCCUUUCUUUUUGGUGGGUGUGGAUGAGUGGCGAACGGGUGAGUAACACGUGAGUAACCUGCCCCCUUCUUCUGGAUAACCGCAUGAAAGUGUGGCUAAUACGGGAUAUUCUGGGUCUGCCGCAUGAUGGGUCUGGGAAAGAUAUUGUUUCGGUGGGGGAUGGGCUCGCGGCCUAUCAGCUUGUUGGUGGGGUGAUGGCCUACCAAGGCGGUGACGGGUAGCCGGCCUGAGAGGGUGGACGGUCACACUGGGACUGAGACACGGCCCAGACUCCUACGGGAGGCAGCAGUGGGGAAUAUUGCACAAUGGGCGCAAGCCUGAUGCAGCGACGCCGCGUGAGGGAUGGAGGCCUUCGGGUUGUGAACCUCUUUCGCCAGUGAAGCAGGCCUGCCUCGUUUGUGGGUGGGUUGACGGUAGCUGGAGAAGAAGCGCCGGCUAACUACGUG